rnacentral:rRNA from 1 species
GACGAACGCUGGCGGCAUGCCUUACACAUGCAAGUCGAACGGCAGCAUGGAGAGCUUGCUCUCUGAUGGCGAGUGGCGAACGGGUGAGUAAUGCAUCGGAACGUACCGUGUAAUGGGGGAUAACGUAGCGAAAGUUACGCUAAUACCGCAUACGACCUGAGGGUGAAAGCAGGGGAUCGCAAGACCUUGCGUUAUACGAGCGGCCGAUGUCAGAUUAGCUAGUUGGUGAGGUAAAGGCUCACCAAGGCGACGAUCUGUAGCGGGUCUGAGAGGAUGAUCCGCCACGCUGGGACUGAGACACGGCCCAGACUCCUACGGGAGGCAGCAGUGGGGAAUUUUGGACAAUGGGGGCAACCCUGAUCCAGCCAUGCCGCGUGAGUGAAGAAGGCCUUCGGGUUGUAAAGCUCUUUCGGCCGGGAAGAAAUCGCACAGGCUAAUACUCUGUGUGGAUGACGGUACCGGCAAAAGAAGCACCGGCUAACUACGUGCCAGCAGCCGCGGUAA